AUUUACUUCUUUCUGGAAGCGAUGAGCACAGUGUAAUUCCUGAGAAAUUUUAAUAAUGAUAUUUUAAUUAUAAUUAAGUGAAACCUAGCAAAGUUGGCUGUAUCUGGAGGAACUCCACUGUGGGAAACAGAUUCUUAAGCCAAACUCAACGUGUGACUUCCAUUAGAUGGCUGAAGAUGGCUGUUUCGCUGCAUCAAUGUGUGACUUUCAAUAGAUGAUCGAAGAUGGCUGUUUGGCACUGUGUCUGAAUUAAGCCAGAAGGAAGGAGGAAGAAGAUGAAGAAAAGGCAUGCCUCUACCCCUUAGGACCACGUCUCUGAAGCUGUAUACAACAUUUCUGCUCUCAUAUAAUUGGGCAGAACUUAGUCAUAGAGC
rnacentral:lncRNA from 1 species